GGGCCUGUAGCUCAGGGGUAGAGCGCUCGCUUUGCAUUUAGAAGUGGAUUAAAUCCCUUCUAGCGUUUGCGAGAGGCCUAGGGUUCAAAUCCCUACCGGUCCA